GCUCCUCCUCCUCCCCCGGCGGCGUCGGCGUCUUCCUGCUGGGCCCGUCUCCGUCGGCGCUCUACGUGUCGCAGGCGCCGCGCCUGACGUGCCUGGCCACCAGCCUGCCCAGCGACGAGGGGCUGACGGUGACGUGGAGCCGCGGCGGCGCCGGCGCCCGGGGCGGGCUGAGGCCCCUCCCGCUGCGCUUGACGCCGCACGUCAACGGGACGUUCACGGCCGCGAGCGAGCUGCCGGUGACGGCGGCCGACUGGGAGAGCGGCGACGAGUUCACCUGCACGGUGACCCACGGCGAGAUGCCCGCGCCCGUCGCAAGGAGGGUCAAG